UAAUACGGGGGAUGCAAGUGUUAUCCGGAAUAAUUGGGCGUAAAGCGUCUGUAGGUGGUUGACCAAGUCUGUUGUUAAAAAUCAGGGCUUAACCCUGAUCCGGCAACAGAAACUAGUAAACUUGAGUACGGUAGGGGCAGAGGGAAUUCUCGGUGUAGUGGUGAAAUACGUAGAUAUCGAGAAGAACACCAAUAGCGAAAGCACUCUGCUGGGCCGAAACUGACAUUGAGAGACGAAAGCUAGGGGAGCAAAAGGGAUUAGAUACCCCUGUAGUCCUAGCCGUAAACGAUGGAUACUAAGUGCUGUGCGACUCAAAACGUCCAGUGCUGUAGCUAACGCGUGAAGUAUCCCGCCUGGGGAGUAUGCUCGCAAGAGUG
rnacentral:rRNA from 1 species